CCUGCCGGUCCGGCUUCUUUCCUUGAAGUGAGCGCCACGGUGCCGUGCCUCCGUUUCCUGCAAGUGCUGGUUUCUGGGCCAGCUGUGUCCCUGGAGCCCUUGGACAGCGUCUUUGGGCGCGCUCACUCCCUGCGAAGCAUCUUGCAAAAAUGGCUCUCCAGGAUUCACUUAUUCCAGCCGCCCCGAGGGCCGGAUGUUACCCUCACCUGAUAGGGGCUGCGAGCCCGGACCGUGGUGCGGGCGUCCUGGGGCCUUCCCGUAGCUGCCAGUGGGUUUCCCUCAUUUAGCCCACUGCACCCUCCCCAGCGCAUCUGAGGCUCGGAAAGGUGAGGUGGUUUCCUCAAGGCCCCCAGCCCACCCUGGAGGAGGCGAGAACUUGGCCCCUUCAGCUUCCUGCCGGCCGCAGGCCGUUGAAUCAGCGGACUCUGAACUUCUUGGAAAACAGCUUUCUGCAGGUGAAUGCAGGAUGGGGCACAGUCCCGUCUCGGGCUGUUGAGAGCUGUGGGACGAUAACUCUGAUUCGUUCCACAGGGCUGUGAGCGCCAACUACAUGCCAAGCGCGGGAGUCCCCUGCCUCCUCGAGCAGGCAGAGAUGACGCAGAUGUGGAAACAGAGGCCCAGAGAGGCUUAAAGCUUGCCCAGGGUCACACAGCCCUAACACUGCAGAACUGACACUUGAGUCCAGAGAAGAGCAAGUCGAGACCACAGCUGGGCAGAGGCCGGCGAGGAAGCCUUUCUUGACUGACUAGGCAAGUGAGAUGAGGGAGCAAUCGCCCCCUCUGCCCUGGGUCAGGUUGCCUGGCUGGGCCCCCUGUGACCUGCCGCUCCCAGGAGAGCCACCACCCAUACCUCAUUCCUCCAAGGCCUGAGUAAGGCACCACGCAAGCUGGGAAAGAACAUUAAUUGAGCGCCUACUGCAUUCUAGCUGCUUGACCUACUUUGCCUCUUGAGAAAUGUAGCUACUGUCCUAUGUAGAGUGGGGUUGUGAGGCAGGAGCACGAGGUGGGUCCUCAAAGUGGCCAUGCAAAACCCCAGGGGAAGGUGUGGCCACAUUGGACACCCUGUACCACCUCCCGACAAGUCCUGCCUGGCCAGUGUUGCCCUGGGCAAAGGCGGAUAAAAUCACGGGCCAAGUGCAUAGAUUCCUCAGUGCGCUCCCCAUCCCCUGCCUGUAAGUGUGGGCCCCGCCCUGGGCCCUUUAUCUGGAUUAUUUCAUAACAGUCUUUUCUGUCACUCUGAAUGCAUCCACCACCUCUCCCCUUCCUCACUUGGAUCCAGCCUCACCAGCCUCCUGGCUGUCCCCCAACACCAGCAGCAGGUUCCCACCUCAGGGCCUUUGCACUUGCUGUUCCCUCUGCCUGGCAUGUCCCAGGGGUUCCCUUCCUCACCUCCUGCAGGUCUCUGUUCAGAUGUCACCUUCUCAGUACAGCCUUCUCGACCCCCCUGUUGAAAUCAAACACUUCUCUUGUCCCAGCACUCCUGACCCCCUCCCUGUCAGACUUUCCACAGCACGUAAGACCAUCUGGCAGAUGUAUUUCAUCUGUUUGUUAACUGUCUGCUCCGUUCACCUGCACUGGCACGUGAGCACCACGAGCGACCUCCCCGUUUUCUUUACUGCUGUAUUCCCAGUGCCUGGCAUGCAGUAGGUGCUUAAUAAAUGUUUGAUGAAUGAAGGCCCUCCAAUCCUCUGAAGUGGGGUCUGUUCACACCCACAUUUCAUGGGGGCCGUCAGAGCUGAGCUAGGAAAUCAGCAGAGCUGGCACCCGCUGGGGACCACCGAAGGGCAGCGGGUCUGGUCCCGGGGAUGAUGGAAACAGCUGCCUGGAAUGAGGCCUGGCUUUGAACGUCAGCUGCGCCCAACGAGCUUGGUGGCCCUGGGCGAGUCUCUAACCUCUCUGUGCUGUCUCUCCAUCUGUCACGUGCGGUCACGCCAGUCCCUGCCAGCUUGGCUUGGCCGCCAGAUUAAGCGAGGGGAGAUGCACGAGAUGGGGGGCACGCAGUGGGGAGGAGCCCCCAACAGUAUUGGGGCGGGAGGACAGCAGGAGGGGCAGGAGCCUGGCCUCUGGGGCCGGUCCCACGGGGCUUCGGUCCUGGCUCUGCUCCUGCAGGGCCGCGUGCGUGAGCCUGGGCGGGGCCCUGGAGCGCUUUGAGCCUCAGUUUCCCCCCCACCGCCCGCGGAAG
rnacentral:lncRNA from 1 species